rnacentral:tRNA from 1 species
AGACAUCUAGUUUAUAUAGAACGUUGUCUUGUGGCGACAGCAGUGGCUAGGGCCGAUGUCUC